GGAUUGAACGCUGGCGGCAGGCCUAACACAUGCAAGUCGAGCGGUAGAGAGGUGCUUGCAUCUCUUGAGAGCGGCGGACGGGUGAGUAAUGCCUAGGAAUCUGCCUAGUGGUGGGGGAUAACGUUCGGAAACGGACGCUAAUACCGCAUACGUCCUACGGGAGAAGCGGGGACCUUCGGGCCUCGCGCCAUUAGAUGAGCCUAGGUCGGAUUAGCUAGGUUGGUGAGGUAAUGGCUCACCAAGGCGACGAUCCGUAACUGGUCUGAGAGGAUGAUCAGUCACACUGGAACUGACGACACGGUCCACGACUCCGUACGGGACGGCAGCGAGGUAGGGGUAAUAGUUAGGACAAGUGGGACGAAAGGCCUAGACUCCGACGCCAGUCGCCGU
rnacentral:rRNA from 1 species